ACGGUGUAAACUCUUCUUUCAUCUUUCUAUAAAAGCCGAUCCCUUCUCUCUCUGAAACCCUAUGCGGAAACCAUUCAGCAGAUAAUCCAGCAAUUCAUCCAAUCCAGACGACAUUCUUCCAGUUUACUGUAAUUUAACCUAAAUGGAUCGUAAGCGAACAGAGAGUCCGUCAUACACACGGCAGUGGAGCGGCGGUUCGAGCAGCACCGGUUCAUCAUCUCCGGCGAUGUCGUCAAGUUACUCAACGAUUAAGCGGACACAGACCGUCACUUCGAAGGCUGCGGCGCAGCGGUUAGCGCAAGUUAUGGCUUCUCAGACUACCGGUGAUGAUGAUGAGGAUGAGGAUGAUGAUGACCUAGGGUUCUGGUUUGGUAAACCGACGUCGUUUGGGAGUAAGAGUAACGGUAACGGUAACGGUAGUGCAUUGUCUGGUGUUUCGUUUGCUAGACCGAAUAGAUCGUCGUCGCCUGCGGUUCUUAGGAACAGUUCCCGUUUCCCAGUUGUUCUCACCUACAUCUGCCAGUGAUGUUAUUUGGUCUUGCAUUUUAUACAGAAGUCAGAGCGGAGAGAAGUGAGAGUCAAGAGAGAGCAGAAAUCUGUCGUCACCGGCGGUUUGUUGGUUUCUAGGCUAGAGACCCACCUUCACCGUUGGUACACUCACAUGUCGCCCACCAGCCAUCUUUAGUUCCGCACCGCUUAUACUACCGGUUACCACCGCUCGCUUCCGGCACCGACUUCGUCCCCAGUAUCCGCUAACCUCUGUCGUCACCACAACCACCAUCGCUUGCCACCUACAAAACCCCCCUAAUCGAACACUAGGGCAUCGGAAUGACCUUCAAUCGAACACCCAUCAGCAAUUUCACGUGUCGAUCGCUCUUCACCAGGACCACAAGUACGCUCAGCCACUUUUGACUUAAGUUCUAGGCCGAAAUGCCACAGGUUUGAGUAAUGACAAACUAAACUGGCUGAUUUUUGCACCUUGACAGUGCAGGUUGAUUUUUUCUUUUCAAAUAAUUAGUUUGUAUUAGAAUUUUUAAAAUGAUAAAUAUGGUUUAUGAAUAUAACACGAAAUAUGUAGUUCAUCAAAUUCGUUUGUAGUCCGCGACACGGAAUUUGUAACCUUACGGAUUCUUAACGACCUAUAUUAAACGAU